UGGGCUUGAACUGCAGGCAUUAGCGACCUGAAAGGGCUCGUGAUCCUCCUUUGGAGGAACCUGUAGAGGUGCUGCAUGGCUGUCGUCAGCUCGUGUCGUGAGAUGUUGGGUUAAGUCCCGCAACGAGCGCAACCCUUACCAUUAGUUGUCAGCGAGUUAAGUUGGAUACUCUAAUGGGACUGCCGGUGACGAGCCGGAGGAAGGUGGGGAUGACGUCAAGUCAGCAUGGCCUUUAUGUCCAGGGCUACACACGUGCUACAAUAGAUGGUAUAGAGGGCAGCAAGACCGCGAGGUGGAGCCAAUCCCUAAAACCAUUCUCAGUUCGGAUUGCAGGCUGCAAUUCGCCUGCAUGAAGC
rnacentral:rRNA from 1 species